ACGGAGAGUUUGAUCCUGGCUCAGGACGAACGCUGGCGGCGUGCUUAACACAUGCAAGUCGAGCGGUAAGGCCCCUUCGGGGGCACACGAGCGGCGAACGGGUGAGUAACACGUGGGUAACCUGCCCUCAGCUUCGGGAUAAGCCCGGGAAACUGGGUCUAAUACCGGAUAUGACUCCACGGCGCAUGUCGUGGAGUGGAAAGCCUUGUGCGGCUGAGGAUGGGCCCGCGGCCUAUCAGCUUGUUGGUGGGGUAGUGGCCUACCAAGGCGACGACGGGUAGCCGGCCUGAGAGGGCGACCGGCCACACUGGGACUGAGACACGGCCCAGACUCCU
rnacentral:rRNA from 1 species